CUAUUAUCGUCCUUAGCAAUCGACUCUCUUCCAGAAUGAAAACCCCAACCCCCAUUUGACAUCUUCUCACUCUCAGAGUCUCAGUUUUAAGCAAACACGAAACAACAACGGCGUGAUACGGAGGUGCGAAAUCUGUUGAAAGUAAUAGAAACCCAGGUAAAAUUUCUGCUGAAUCUGACAUUAUUACGAGCGCCCAGUUUCCUUUUUUAAUGUUACUUGCAUGUUUAUAAUGUUCGUUAAACCUGUUCAUAUCCUGUAAAAUAUCAAGAAUUUGAAUAUGAGAAAACAAUGGCAUGAUAAAGAGAUGCAAAGUGGUCUAUAAUCUUGUGAUUAAGAGCACGUUUGGCUAAGCUUAAGAAGUUCGCUCAUGAGAAAACUUGAGAUCUAAAAGUAAGGAAAAAAAAGUUAUUCGAACAUGUUUAGAUAAAGAAAACUUACUUAGAAUGCAACUUCAAUAUUUUAAGCUGAGCCUAACAGGCUCAAAAUUCGUUGAAUUUAAUCUUAUGCAGGACUAAUUGGCAAUUGUUUACUAAAUUCAGGCCUGUCGUGACUUGUAGGACAUACCUACUUUAAACUCGGAUGGCAAGAAGAAUUAGCUCUGAGCUAUUUAUAAGCAGUAUGCAUCUCUUUUGUUUUUUUUAUUUUUUAAAUUUUCUUUAUUGUCUGGACUGUGGGUUUUGGUUGAAAUUCUAAUAUCACAUAAGUCUUGAUUCUUUGAGAUUAGGAUUGUCGUUUUACACCACAGUGGAAGAAUUGAAAGGGUUAUUCUCACCCUUUGGCGCAGUCUCCGAAGGUAUAAUUGAUAGUAUUUAGAACAUGUUUGGCCAAGCUUAAAAAGUUCAAUUACAGGUAAAUGAGAAAGUUUCUAAAAUAAAAGAUUUUGUGUUUAUCAAAAUUUGAAAUAAGUAAGUUGAGGAAGGUGUAAGUUUUAUUUUUAAAAAAGGUUUGGAUAUAGAUGUCUUACUUAAAGCUAACUUUUACUUCGAUUAAGCUCAGGCAAACAAACUUUUAAUGGUUUUAAUUUGAGAUGUUUUCUUCUUUCUCCUAGUAUUCUACCCAGCACUGAUCUUAACAUUUCACUCAAUCUCGUGGAUGAUGACUGUGUUUAAUGCAGCAAGGCUUAUCAAAGACCCAAGAACACAAAGGCCUAAAGGAUUUGCCUUUGUGAAAUUUGCAUCAGAGGUCAAUGCCCAGAAUGCAGUGAAGGCUAUGAAUGGCAGGGUAAGAUACUUUUGCAAUCGUAUAUAUUUCUAAUGUGGUAAUGUAUGAUUACAUAUGUAUCCCCAUAUCAAUUAUGGGGACUGUAGUUUGUGGUAACAUUUAUAAAAUGCACAUAUAUUGACACUGGUUAUAUGAUGUGUUUUGAUUGUCAAGUAUUGCUGAAGUUUUCUUUAUUGCUAUGACGUUAUUUGUAAGUCACUAAAUCGGGUUUCAAUCAAUGUAUAUACGAUCUUGAAUCAGAAUCUUCACCAUUUAAAUCCAUGUAUUUGGAAAAUUAAAAAAAGAAAAAUUAGCGGAGAAUUUUGUCUUGCCAGUUUCCUCUUGUCCAGUGUAAUAAGUAACCACUUAAGGCAACAUGGGUUGGUAGCAUCUCUUUCCAUCAUUUCGGGUUGGUUAUCGCAGGUUCUAAAAUUGUGAUGUUUUGUGCAUCUGUUGAUAAGAUGAGUGGGGUAUACAUAAGAAGAUUGAAAAGUGAACAGAGACUAAUAUUAUGAUUGAACAGGGAAAGAACUUAUCUUCCUAAUUUUUUUCGUCAGUUAGCCUUUAGACAGUGUGAAUUGUUGUUCUGUUCAAGAAAUAACAGUAGCACUGGACAUGUUGGAAAGCUACAACGUUGAUGAACCGUGCACGCUGUACUCUUAUCAUACCGUUUGUUUAUUAUUUUUAGUACCAUUACUGUACAUUUUAACUGCAAUUUACUUUUUGCCCCUCUCAGAGACACACGUUCAAGCUGUUGGUACUGACUAAUUUAGUUGCAUAGAUUAAUAUAGAUAUUGAUUCUGACAAGUGUUAAUGGAGCAUCUGAGUUUUAAAAGUCAGAAUUAUAUGAUUUUGAUCUCUUGUUUGAUGCUUAAAGGAUCUCCUCUUUUUCCAGCUUCCUAUGGUUUUGCUUAUCCUCCUUUCAAUUUAUUUAAUACAGGCCUUUUUGGUGUUUUUCAUGUGUUUUUGUUCCAUGUUCAACUAAAAGAAGGCUUUUCAUAGCAGUCUUAACUCUUAAUUAUUGCACCUAAAGAAGAGGAUGUUACUGUUUGCCUUUUUUGGGGAAUCUGCUGUUGUUCACUUCAAUAUGCUUUGUCUACAUUCCCAUAGUGGAUGUUCCAUAACCUAUUGUAAGAACAUCUGAUGACCUGCUUGCAUCUUAAUCACUUGGAUGUAUUAAUCCAUUUGAGUGUGCUGCUAUUUCGUCUAAUUUUUACAUUUGUAUGCCAGUGCAGAUAGUGAAUGGAAGAUUGAUUUUUGUAGAAUUUGCAGAGAGUACAAGAUCAGCUGAAACGUCAUCCUGAAAGUUGGUUAAUUUUCUUUACUUAGGAUAUCUGUACGGGAUAUCUAAAUUGUGUAUCCAAAUUCAGUUCAUAUGGGAGAACUUUUGACGGUUUCGCAGUCUUCUUUACUGCUAUUGCCUGUGUUUUGGCUUUGAGUUCCAAAUCAACAACCGGUUUCUAUUGGUCGCAUCCAGGCAUCAUUAUCUGAUAAUUUAUGUAUGAGAUUCUUGGUGCGGGAAGCGAUAAUAAAAUUCUUGUAAUAAGAAUUAUGUAAUAAAUAAAAACUAUAUUUGAA
rnacentral:lncRNA from 1 species